rnacentral:rRNA from 1 species
AUUGAACGCUGGCGGCAGGCUUAACACAUGCAAGUCGAGCGGGGGAGGUUGCUUCGGUAACUGACCUAGCGGCGGACGGGUGAGUAAUGCUUAGGAAUCUGCCUAUUAGUGGGGGACAACAUUCCGAAAGGAAUGCUAAUACCGCAUACGCCCUACGGGGGAAAGCAGGGGAUCUUCGGACCUUGCGCUAAUAGAUGAGCCUAAGUCGGAUUAGCUAGUUGGUGGGGUAAAGGCCUACCAAGGCGACGAUCUGUAGCGGGUCUGAGAGGAUGAUCCGCCACACUGGGACUGAGACACGGCCCAGACUCCUACGGGAGGCAGCAGUGGGGAAUAUUGGACAAUGGGGGGAACCCUGAUCUAGCCAUGCCGCGUGCGUGAAGAAGGCCUUUUGGUUGUAAAGCACUUUAAGCGAGGAGGAGGCUACUGGUAUUAAUACUACCGGAUAGUGGACGUUACUCGCAGAAUAAGCACCGGCUAACUCUGUGCCAGCAGCCGCAGUAAAAC